GAGUGCGGAGGACAGGACAAGAUUGGACGAAACCAAGUACGAAACUGAUCAUUAUUGGUACGGACACGGAUAUGGCCAUGGACAUAAAUAUGGUCAUGGCAAGGGAUACGGACACGGUGGAUAUGGACAUUACGGCAAGCCUGGCCAUGGAGGUCACCCCGGACACGGUGCUGAUGGAGUUGAAACCGAAGAUGGAGGGAACUAAAUAAACCCUUGCUAACCUAGCUAAGCCUUCUUCUUCUUCCUUGUUGGCUAAGCUAGGUCUUUUAUGAAUGUGUUGCUUGCUGAAAAUAAAUAACUAAGCUUUAGUUUAUGAAUGUUUUCUUGUCAGCAAGUGUGUGUAAGUAAGGCUCGACAUUGAGAUGUGGCCAUGAAUGUUCUUUUAUAAGGCACCAUGGUUACGUUGAUAUAUUGAUCAGGUAAUUUGUACUACUAUAAAAUAUAUAAGUGUUUUAUUUCUUGUGGUCUGAUGUGCCGUGACAAGUUUGGGAGUUUUGGCUACGUUAAGAAGAAGUUUAGUUAAAUAAGCAGAUGACGAAUGAACUAAAAGUCCACUUUUAUUGUCACCAGCAGCGACGGAUCUAGACAUCUCAUUCGGAGGGG
rnacentral:lncRNA from 1 species